GAUGAACGCUGACAGAAUGCUUAACACAUCAGCAAUUGAUUGGUGGCGGACGGGUGAGUAACGCGUAAAGAACUUAACUCACAGUUAGGGACAACAUUUGGAAACGAAUGCUAAUACCUAAUACUGUGAGAGAGCUUUGCGUCCCAUUAGCUAGUUGGAGAGGGAACGUAUCACCAAGGCGAGGAUGGGUAGCCGGCCUGGGAGGGUGAUCGGCAACAAGGUGAAUUAGACACCGCCCUUACUCCUACGGGAGGCAGGAGUGGGGAAUAUUGGACAAUGGACCAAAGUCUGAUCCAGCAAUUCUGUUUGCACGAUGAAGUUUUCGGAAUGUAAAGUGCUUUCAGUUGAGAAGCGGUACCAACAGAAGAAGUGACGGCUAAAUACGUGCCAGCAGCCGCGGUAAUAC
rnacentral:rRNA from 1 species